UCUUUCGGCCAUACCACACUGAACACGCCCGAUCUCGUCAGAUCUCGGAAGCAAAGCAGGGUCGGGCCCGGUUAGUACUUGGAUGGGAGAAAUAGCAUCAUUCUACUAUCAAAACCAAACAAAGAC
rnacentral:rRNA from 1 species